rnacentral:misc_RNA from 1 species
UUGGAGGGCAAGUCUGGUGCCAGCAGCCGCGGUAAUUCCAGCUCCAAUAGCGUAUAUUAAAGUUGUUGCAGUUAAAAAGCUCGUAGUUGAAUUUCGGGGCCAGUAGGUUGGUCGUGCCACUGGUAUGCACUGGCCUCACUGGUCCCUCCCUCUUGCAGAACCGUGAUGGCAUUAAUUUGUUGUUGCGGGGAAACAGGACUGUUACUUUGAAAAAAUUAGAGUGCUUAAAGCAGGCUCGCGCUUGAAUACAUUAGCAUGGAAUAACGAAAUAGGACGAUCGAACCUAUUUUGUUGGUUUCUAGGAUCGACGUAAUGAUUAAUAGGGAUAGUUGGG